rnacentral:rRNA from 1 species
UACGGAGGGGGUUAGCGUUGUUCGGAAUGACUGGGCGUAAAGCGCGCGUAGGCGGAUCGGAAAGUUGGGGGUGAAAUCCCGAGGCUCAACCUCGGAAUGGCCUUCAAAACUCCUGGUCUUGAGUUCGAGAGAGGUGAGUGGAAUUCCGAGUGUAGAGGUGAAAUUCGUAGAUAUUCGGAGGAACACCAGUGGCGAAGGCGGCUCACUGGACUGGUAUUGACGCUGAGGUGCGAAAGCGUGGGGAGCAAACAGG